rnacentral:rRNA from 1 species
AGGAUUAGAUACCUUGGUAGUCCACGCCGUAAACGAUGUCUACUAGCCGUUGGGACUCUUGAAGUCUUAGUGGCGCAGCUAACGCACUAAGUAGACCGCCUGGGGAGUACGGCCGCAAGGUUAAAACUCAAAUGAAUUGACGGGGGCCCGCACAAGCGGUGGAGCAUGUGGUUUAAUUCGACGCAACGCGAAGAACCUUACCUGGCCUUGACAUGCAGAGAACUUUCCAGAGAUGGAUUGGUG